ensembl:lncRNA
AGAACCUAUAAGAAGGCGUAGAGUUGCCAGGUGCUUCAAGGCAAUUUACCCUCAAGAUGCCCAGCCGCAUCCAGCAGACGUUAUUGGCUCCCUGGUCUCCUGCAUUCACAGCAUCAUCCUUCCUGACCUUUCCCGCUCUCUUCCAACGGUUCAUCUUUGUGAUUAAGUGCUGAUCUAGCUCCCAGUUGCUGAAGACAGAAACCCUGAAGACAAAAAGCUGUUAAUGAAGAAAUUAGCUCUACAAUUGAUCCUAGAGCCAUGCUUAAGUGCGCACGAUAGCUCUGCCUAUUGAACUGCCACAGUUGCUGAGUAAUUAAUAACAUCUUUGUAUCACAGGCUAUAAA